rnacentral:rRNA from 1 species
CUACGGGGCGCAGCAGUAAGGAAUAUUGGGCAAUGGACGCAAGUCUGACCCAGCCAUGCCGCGUGCAGGAUGACAGCCCUACGGGUUGUAAACUGCUUUUAUACGGGAAAAAACCCCUGCACGAGUUGCGGGGUUGAUGGUACCGUAAGAAUAAGCAUCGGCUAACUCCGUGCCAGCAGCCGCGGUAAUACGGAGGAUGCAAGCGUUAUCCGGAUUCAUUGGGUUUAAAGGGUGCGUAGGCGGAAUGAUAAGUCAGUGGUGAAAUCCUACAGCUUAACUGUAGAACUGCCAUUGAUACUGUUGUUCUUGAGUACAUUUGAAGUGGGCGGAAUGUGUCAUGUAGCGGUGAAAUGCAUAGAGAUGACACAGAACACCGAUCGCGAAGGCAGCUCACUAAACUGUAACUGACGCUGAGGCACGAAAGCGUGGGGAUCAAACAGGAUUAGAUACCCUUGUAGUC